GGAUAACUUACCCUUAGGACUGGGAUAACUUUGGGAAACUGAAGAUAAUACCGGAUAUUAAGCUAUGCCUGCAAUGGUUUGCUUAUGAAACGUUUUUUCGCCUAGGAUAGAUCUGCGGCUGAUUAGGUCGUUGGUGGGGUAAAGGCCCACCAAGCCGAUGAUCGGUACGGGUUGUGAGAGCAAGAGCCCGGAGAUGGAACCUGAGACAAGGUUCCAGACCCUACGGGGUGCAGCAGGCGCGAAACCUCCACAAUGUACGAAAGUGCGAUGGGGGGAUCCCAAGUGUAUUCUUAACAGAAUAGCUUUUCAUUAGUGUAAAAAGCUUUUAGAAUAAGAGCUGGGCAAGACCGGUGCCAGCCGCCGCGGUAAUACCGGCAGCUCAAGUGGUAGCUGUUUUUAUUGGGCCUAAAGCGUUCGUAGCCGGUUUAAUAAGUCUUUGGUGAAAGCUUGUAGCUUAACUAUAAGAAUUGCUGGAGAUACUAUUAGACUUGAAGUCGGGAGAGGUUAGAGGUACUACCGGGGUAGGGGUGAAAUCCUAUAAUCCUGGGAGGACCACCUGUGGCGAAGGCGUCUAACUAGAACGAUCUUGACGGUGAGUAACGAAAGCCAGGGGCGCGAACCGGAUUAGAUACCCGGGUAGUCCUGGCCGUAAACGAUGUGGACUUGGUGUUGGAAUGGCUUCGAGUUGUUCCAGUGCCGAAGGGAAGCUGCUAAGUCCACCGCCUGGGAAGUACGGUCGCAAGACUGAAACUUAA
rnacentral:rRNA from 1 species